UUCAGGGAAAAAAAAACUCUAUUUUCCCUAACCCAGCUCCUAACAGCCGCACUCCACCCCCCUUUAAACCCUCUCAACGUAACAAAAACACGCACGCGCAGAGAGGAGAUCGGAGGAAGAUAUAACGCCGGCGGAAGGGAGGAAGAUCGUCGCCGGCCUGGUACCACCGUCGCCGUCGCGUCUUGCCAUCACUGCCACCACGAAGCCACCGAACUGAGUUAGGGAAAAGAGAGAUCGAAACAGAGUUUGAGGAAGAGUGUUGCGCGAGAAUGGAGAGGGAGAGCGCCGUCGCGGGCUGGCCGUCGAGGAAGCCACUGCCACCGACCCCAGCUGUGCCACCGCCGUCGAGCCCGAACAAGAAAGAGGAGACGCAUGCCUGGAACCCCUACGAGCUGGAGGAGCUGUCCUUGCAUGUCGCCGCCGCCGAGGAUAGGAGGGAGGAGCUGUGCCUCAGUGUUGUCGCCGCCAUGAAGAACCGCCGCUGCUGAAGCUCUGCUGCGGUUGCUGCUGCCAUGACCGCUGCUCUUCCAGCCGCUGUUGUGGGUGCUGUUAGUGUGGUUCCGGUGUGGAUUGGAGGCUACCGCUGAGUGGCAUGUAGCUGUCGGAAGCCGCCGUGACCACCAUUGAACUCUACGUUGCUGUUAGAGUCACUGAUGGAGGUUGAAUAUUGACGCUAGUGUUGCCGUGAGACUGUUGAAGCUGCUGCUAGUUCUGAUUCGAUUACCUGGGUACUGGUUUGAUCUUUCCCUUAGGUUUGGUCCAUCUGCACGUUCUGUUUUGUCACUGUUAUAGUUGCCAUGUUCUGGUUUUAAUUCGAUUUUAGUCCUUGCUUUGUCUUGAAUUUCCAGGGCUGUAAUUGCUUUUAAUUCCUAUCCAAUUUGAAUCCUCUGUUUUGCUGCAA